GAGACCCGUACCCACAGUUGCCAGCGGCUGCUCCGGCAGGCUGGGUACACUAUGGGGACCGCCUCUGCUAAAGAGGAGGAAGGAGCGGGCGACGGUAGGUCAGUAUGCCCCGAAUUCUCCGGGCUACACGCGGGCUACAAUGGAUGGGACAAUGGGCUCCGACACCGAAAGGUGAAGGCAAUCUCUUAAACCCAUUCUUAGUUCGGAUUGAGGGCUGAAACUCGCCCUCAUGAAGCUGGAAUCCGUAGUAAUCGCGUUUCAACAUAGCGCGGUGAAUAC
rnacentral:rRNA from 1 species